rnacentral:rRNA from 1 species
CUGGCGGCGUGCCUAAUACAUGCAAGUCGAGCGAAUGGAUUAAGAGCUUGCUCUUAUGAAGUUAGCGGCGGACGGGUGAGUAACACGUGGGUAAUCUGCCCAUAAGACUGGGAUAACUCCGGGAAACCGGGGCUAAUACCGGAUAACAUUUUGAACCGCAUGGUUCGAAAUUGAAAGGCGGCUUCGGCUGUCACUUAUGGAUGGACCCGCGUCGCAUUAGCUAGUUGGUGAGGUAACGGCUCACCAAGGCAACGAUGCGUAGCCGACCUGAGAGGGUGAUCGGCCACACUGGGACUGAGACACGGCCCAGACUCCUACGGGAGGCAGCAGUAGGGAAUCUUCCGCAAUGGACGAAAGUCUGACGGAGCAACGCCGCGUGAGUGAUGAAGGCUUUCGGGUCGUAAAACUCUGUUGUUAGGGAAGAACAAGUGCUAGUUGAAUAAGCUGGCACCUUGACGGUACCUAACCAGAAAGCCACGGCUAACUACGUGCCAGCAGCCGCGGUAA